UCUUCCAGUACCCACAGCCCGCAUCUUGGGUUCCCCUGAGCGAUAUGUGUACAGGGGCUCGACCAUCAACCUCACCUGCAUCAUCAACCAUAAGCCUGAAUCUACAACGGAGAUCUUCUGGUACCAUAACAAUAAGGUGAUCAACUACGACAACCGCGACAGCCGGGUGAGCGUGAUCACGGACCGCGGCGCCGUCACCAAGACCAUCCUGCUGAUCCACGACGCGCACGACGGCGCCACAGGGACCUACUCGUGCGUGCCCUCGCCCUCCGCCACCGCCUCCGUCAGGAUACACAUCCUCAACGGAGACUCCACAGCCGCCAUCCUGACGAACACCGGACGCCCUUGCCACCUGUGCCCCGCUACGUUCACGUUCGCUCUCGCCCA